UACGAAGGGGGCUAGCGUUGUUCGGAAUACUGGGCGUAAAGCGCGCGCAGGCGGUCUUCCAAGUCAGUGGUGAAAGCCCGGAGCUCAACUCCGGAACUGCCAUUGAAACUGUGAGACUUGAGUACGAGAGAGGUGAGUGGAAUUCCCAGUGUAGAGGUGAAAUUCGUAGAUAUUGGGAAGAACACCGGUGGCGAAGGCGGCUCACUGGCUCGUAACUGACGCUCAGGCGCGACAGCGUGGGGAUCAAACAGG
rnacentral:rRNA from 1 species